rnacentral:rRNA from 1 species
GAAUAAUUGAUGGAAACGUCUUGUAAUGCCCUAUAUGCCUUUAUGACAAAAGUCAGCAAGGGAAAUAUUUAUAGCUCUAAGAUCGGUCUGUAUGGUAUCAGAUAGUUGGUGAGGUAAUGGCUUACCAAGUCUAUGACACCUAACUGGUUUGAGAGGAUGAUCAGUCACACUGGAACUGAGACACGGUCCAGACUCCUACGGGAGGCAGCAGUGGGGAAUAUUGCACAAUGGACGAAAGUCUGAUGCAGCAACGCCGCGUGGAGGAUGACACAUUUCGGUGCGUAAACUCCCUUUAUAUAUGAAGAUAAUGACGGUAAUAUAUGAAUAAGCACCGGCUAACUCCGUGCCAGCAGCCGCGGUAAUACGGGGGGUGCAAGCGUUACUCGGAAUCACUGGGCGUAAAGCGCAUGUAGGCGGAUUAGAAAGUCAGAAGUGAAAUCCUAUAGCUCAACUAUAGAACUGCUUCUGAAACUCCUAAUCUAGAAUAUGGGAGAGGUAGAUGGAAUUUCUGGUGUAGGGGUAAAAUCCGUAGAGAUCAGAAGGAAUACCGAUUGCGAAGGCGAUCUACUGGAACAUUAUUGACGCUCAGAUGCGAAAGCGUGGGGAGCAAACAGGAUUAGAUACCCUGGUAGUCCACGCCCUAAAUGAUGCACACUAGUUGUUGCUAGGCUAGACCUGGCAGUAAUGCAGUUAACACAUUAAGUGUGCCGCCUGGGGAGUACGGUCGCAAGAUUAAAACUCAAAGGAAUAGACGGGGACCCGCACAAGCGGUGGAGCAUGUGGUUUAAUUCGACGAUACGCGAAGAACCUUACCUGGCCUUGACUUAAGAAGAACACCCUAAAAGAUAGAGUAGUGCUAGCUUGCUAGAACUUCUUUACAGGUGCUGCCCGGCUGUCGUCAGCUCGUGUCCUGGAAAUGUUGGGGUUAAGUCCCCGCACCGAGCGCCACCCCCCGGGAUUAGUUGCUAACAGUUCCGCUGGAAAACCUUAAUCCAAAUUGCCUUCCUUAAGGAGGAAGGAAAGGGU